AUGGUUUGUUGGGAUCAUGUAGAAGCAUCAUAUAAUGAUAGAAAGAAUCUUCUGCUCAAAACACAAGUGGUGUUGCAAUGAUAUAAGGGUCAACCUUCUUCUCGUAAACGAGUGAUGUGACACUUACAUCUUUUUUCCCCUCCAGCCCCACCGAUACACUUAUAAAAUAACACUUUCUUUCUCCGUUUUCCUCAAAUUAACAUACUCAUUUUCAGUAGUUUAUACACAAAACUACCUAACACGUAAAAACACUACGACGGUCUAAACUCUUCAAUCACGUUUAAAAAAUCUAAAAAUAUACAUGUAUGCCUCUGCAAGCUUAAGAAUUAUACUAACUCUUAAUAGUUCACACCUCUAACUGGUUCAGCACUUAAUGAUUUAGACCUCUUACUGGUUUAACACUUAACCAU
rnacentral:lncRNA from 1 species